GCGUGCCUAAUACAUGCAAGUCGAGCGAACAGAUAAGGAGCUUGCUCCUUUGACGUUAGCGGCGGACGGGUGAGUAACACGUGGGUAACCUACCUAUAAGACUGGGACAACUUCGGGAAACCGGAGCUAAUACCGGAUAAUAUGUUGAACCGCAUGGUUCAAUAGUGAAAGAUGGUUUUGCUAUCACUUAUAGAUGGACCCGCGCCGUAUUAGCUAGUUGGUGAGGUAACGGCUCACCAAGGCAACGAUACGUAGCCGACCUGAGAGGGUGAUCGGCCACACUGGAACUGAGACACGGUCCAGACUCCUACGGGAGGCAGCAGUAGGGAAUCUUCCGCAAUGGGCGAAAGCCUGACGGAGCAACGCCGCGUGAGUGAUGAAGGUCUUAGGAUCGUAAAACUCUGUUAUUAGGGAAGAACAAACGUGUAAGUAACUGUGCACGUCUUGACGGUACCUAAUCAGAAAGCCACGGCUAACUACG
rnacentral:rRNA from 1 species